rnacentral:rRNA from 1 species
UGCCAGACUCCUACGGGAGGCAGCAGUGGGGGAUAUUGCACAAUGGGGGAAACCCUGAAGCAGCAACGCCGCGUGGAGGAUGAAGGUUUUCGGAUUGUAAACUCCUUUUGUUAGAGAAGAUAAUGACGGUAUCUAACGAAUAAGCAUCGGCUAACUCCGUGCCAGCAGCCGCGGUAAUACGGAGGAUGCGAGCGUUAUCCGGAUUCAUUGGGUUUAAAGGGUGCGCAGGCGGGCCUUUAAGCCGGCGGUGAACUCGGGGGGCACCACCCCGCCGAGCCGUAGGAACUGGGGGCCUUGAGUGCGGCGGAGGCAUGCGGAAUGCGCGGUGUAGCGGUGAGAUGCAUAGAUAUCGCGCAGAACCCCGAUUGCGAAGGCAGCGUGCCGGGCCGCCACUGACGCUGAGGCACGAAAGCGCGGGGAUCGAACAGGAUUAGAUACCCCAGUA